AAUCCAUGCAUCAAACAUUUUUGAAUUAAGUCUUUAAAUCGAUCCCAAAUUUUAUAUAGUGUUUCAUCCUCUGAUUGCUGAAAACAUGUAAUGUCAUUUCUAAGCUU
rfam:Gossypium hirsutum cultivar TM-1 unplaced genomic scaffold scaffold896.1, whole genome shotgun sequence